rnacentral:tRNA from 1 species
GCCUCUGUAGCUCAGUUCGGUAGAGCGAUUGCUUCGUAAGCAAUAGGUCGGGGGUUCAAAUCCCUCCAGAGGCU